AAAUAAUCUAAUUUGCGACAGAUCCGAAGGAAGAAAUCGAAGGAUGGCGAAGCUGGUGUUCUUCACCGUAGUUGUUAUCACCAUUUGCUCCUUUGGAGUCUCCGUUGAUGACAAAUGUGCUGCUUGCAACGCCGUCGCGGAGGAACUGGAGUCACAGCUUUUGAAGGAAAAAACCACGAAACCAUCUUGAUUUGAGAAACCGACUCAUUCUAAAGGCCAGCGUGAAGGAAAGGUUAUUGAUUAUAGAAUGAGUGACCUGAGGGUGGUUGAUUUGUUGACGGGCUGUGUGAUAGAAUGCAGGACUAUACUCUACAAAAGGUGAAAUCUAAAAAUAGUGAAUGGGUCAAAGUGGAAAGUUUUGACAAUCUAACAAAUAAACAAGAAGCUAAAGCGCAUGCCAAUGACAUUUCAA